AAAAUUUGGCAAGGAAAACAGUAAGGGAGAAAAAAAGAAAGUAGAUGGCAGCAAUAGUUUGGGGGAGAGCACUUCGCCGAAGCAAAGAACAAAGUCGAAAGAGAAAAGAGAUGAGAAAAAAACUAGUAGGAACCCUCAGCAAUAUUCGGCCCUCAAGAGUGGAAAACAGUCGACAAAAAUAAAAUUAAAAGAAAAAAACCAAUCCCCAGCCGAAGUUUGAGAAACAAAAGAAAUUCAAUUCAACACUAACUCUCUCAUCAUAUCCCUAGAAUCUCUCCUUAAAAACCUCACUACUAACCCACCAUAAUCCUCUCAACAACUAAAACCAACACUCAGUCAACCUUUUCAGUAUUUCGGCUGGAGCAAAAUACCUACACGGCACAAGCAAUAAAAUAAGUACUUUGUUUGCGUAGAUACUCAAAAUCCAG
rnacentral:lncRNA from 1 species